rnacentral:rRNA from 1 species
UAAGACGAACCGUGCGAACGUUGUUCGGAAUCACUGGGCUUAAAGGGCGCGUAGGCGGUCUGCCAAGUCGGUGGUGAAAUCUUUCGGCUUAACCGGAAAAGUGCCUUCGAUACUGGCGGACUGGAGGGAGGUAGGGGCAGAUGGAACUUCCGGUGGAGCGGUGAAAUGUGUUGAUAUCGGAAGGAACGCCGGUGGCGAAAGCGAUCUGCUGGACCUCUUCUGACGCUGAGGCGCGAAAGCCAGGGGAGCAAACGGGAUUAGAUACCCCGGUAGUCCUGGCCCUAAACGAUGGGUACUGAGUAGUGGACUUACAUGGGUUCACUGCUGAAGCAAAAGUGGUAAGUACCCCGCCUGGGGAGUAUGGUCGCAAGGCUG